GCCCGGGUGGCGGAAUUGGCAGACGCGCCAGACUCAAAAUCUGGUGAGGGCAACCUCGUGCCGGUUCGACCCCGGCCCCGGGCA
rnacentral:tRNA from 1 species